AGACGAUUAGCUCCAAGAAAAAAAAAAGCAGAGUGAAGACGACGAGGCGGCCGGCCGGCCGGAUCGCCACCGCCACCGCGCCGCGCCAACCCUCAGCCAGCCGGACUCCCUCGCGACGGCUGCUGCUGCCGGCGGCACAGCUAGUGUCACGAACUCAUCACCACCCCUCGCCGGCCGGCCGGCCAUGGCCGUGGCCGUGUCGACCACCGGCAUCAGCAGGGCAAGCACGGCGGCGACUCCCACGCCCCGCCCUCACCUUUCGCAUACCCCCCCCCCCCCUCCCCCCCUCCGCCUCUCGAGGAGCGAGGUGAGAGGCUUGUUAACACGUGGAUUGCCUUCAGUGCCGUGGACAAAUUUGAGGAGGAUUGCGAGAUGCUGGAACAUUUGUUGAUUGCGAGUUGUCUUCCAGGGAAUUAUGCAUGUGGAGGAGAAGCAACCGCUGUGGAAUUUCCGUUUUUCUUUGGUAUCUGAGAAGAAAGCUCUUACAAAGUUUGUCCGUUCAGUGCAAUCAUCCAUAUUCAAGAGUGCCUUGAAAUCCACCGCGUCUUACAUUUAAGACGGCGAAUGGGGGAGCAUCCAAGAUAAUUUUCAGAAAGGGAGAUGACCUCCGACAAGGUCAGCUGGGUGACCUCUGCUGCGAUUUCCUGUGUUCAUUCGGAGGAGACGGCUGAUUAAUAGCUAUUCUUCUGGUCACUUAAAACUGAUGUAACUCAGUUUCUUGUAUGUACCCGCGAGGGCCAUCAUGGGCUCCACCUGCGCCCUAUUGCCGGCCUUCCGAUGCGGCGCCCCGACCUCCCUAUAGAGGACCAGAAGCUUGCAGUAGCAGGAGCAGCAGCAUCUCGGACCCUCCCCUCCUUCCUUCCCCUUCCUGUCAAGUUUUUGUGUGAAAAGCAAUCUUGAUCAAAAAUAAAUCUGCUUAUUUAAUGGGCUGCCACUUCACAUUGAUUCAACAUGGCUAGUUUAUCGUAUCUUUACUGUUUUAGUAGUUCACCACUGAAAAAACCACGGAUUUGGAAAAGAGUUGUGGAUUUUAAAAAGUUCAUUCAUUUCAAAAAAGUUUGCGGAUUUAAAAGAUACUCACAGAUUUGGAAAGGAGUUGUGGAUUUAAAAAAAGUUCAUAAAUUUAAAAGUAAUUUUAGGUUAUAAAAAAGGCUCAUGAAUUUGAGAAUAUAUCAUGAAUUUGAAAAAAAUCACGAAUUAAGAGAAGAAAAAAAGAAGAAAAAGAAAAAGGAAAACCGAAUAGAAACCGUUCUAAAAUAAACCACAGAAAAAACCGCACCAGAAAACUGGGGGAACCUUCCAAAAACCAGCGGAAAAAAUUCCGCAUGGGCCGGCUCACUACGCAAGCGAUUAGGUGGUGUGUGCGCUGUGUACCGUUACAGCUAUAACUUGUGCUUUAAGCGUAGAAUAGGAAGUGGCUGACAUCCUGCCUCCGUUUAGUUCCUGGCAAGUCCUCGCCGCGGCCUCCCUGUCUUG